GAUGAACGCUGGCGGCGUGCCUAAUACAUGCAAGUCGAGCGAACGGACGAGAAGCUUGCUUCUCUGAUGUUAGCGGCGGACGGGUGAGUAACACGUGGAUAACCUACCUAUAAGACUGGGAUAACUUCGGGAAACCGGAGCUAAUACCGGAUGAUAUUUUGAACCGCAUGGUUCAAAAGUGAAAGACGGUCUUGCUGUCACUUAUAGAUGGAUCCGCGCUGCAUUAGCUAGUUGGUAAGGUAACGGCUUACCAAGGCAACGAUGCAUAGCCGACCUGAGAGGGUGAUCGGCCACACUGGAACUGAGACACGGUCCAGACUCCUACGGGAGGCAGCAGUAGGGAAUCUUCCGCAAUGGGCGAAAGCCUGACGGAGCAACGCCGCGUGAGUGAUGAAGGUCUUCGGAUCGUAAAACUCUGUUAUUAGGGAAGAACAUAUGUGGAAGUAACUGUGCACAUCUUGACGGUACCUAAUCAGAAAGCCACGGCUAACUACGUG
rnacentral:rRNA from 1 species